rnacentral:rRNA from 1 species
UGGAGGUAGUGACAAUAAAUCACAAUGCGGGACUGUUAGUCUUGCAAUUGGAUUGAGAACAACGUACAACUCUUAUCGAUAAGCCAUUGGAGGGCAAGUCUGGUGCCAGCAGCCGCGGUAAUUCCAGCUCCAAUAGCGUAUAUUAACGUUGUUGCAGUUAAAAAGCUCGUAGUUGAAGUGAGGGAGUGUGUGUUCAUGAGAGCUAGUCUCGAGUGUUCACAACCUCCCCCCUCCAAUCGGUGUAGUGGGGUAUUCAGUUAUUUCACUACUCCUUUGGUCGUUUACUGUGAGAAAAUUAGAGUGUUCAAAGCGGGCGUUUGUUUGAAUAGAUUAGCAUGGAAUAAUGAUUGAAGGCUUUCGUGUUCGAUUUGAUUGGUUUGUUCAUGGAAGCAAGGUUAAAAGGAACAGUUGGGGGUAUUCAUAUUCACUAGUUAGAGGUGAAAUUCUCGGAUUUAUG